ACGCUGGCGGCAGGCCUAACACAUGCAAGUCGAGCGGUAGAGAGAAGCUUGCUUCUCUUGAGAGCGGCGGACGGGUGAGUAAUGCCUAGGAAUCUGCCUGGUAGUGGGGGAUAACGUUCGGAAACGGACGCUAAUACCGCAUACGUCCUACGGGAGAAAGCAGGGGACCUUCGGGCCUUGCGCUAUCAGAUGAGCCUAGGUCGGAUUAGCUAGUUGGUGGGGUAAUGGCUCACCAAGGCGACGAUCCGUAACUGGUCUGAGAGGAUGAUCAGUCACACUGGAACUGAGACACGGUCCAGACUCCUACGGGAGGCAGCAGUGGGGAAUAUUGGACAAUGGGCGAAAGCCUGAUCCAGCCAUGCCGCGUGUGUGAAGAAGGUCUUCGGAUUGUAAAGCACUUUAAGUUGGGAGGAAGGGCAGUUACCUAAUACGUGAUUGUUUUGACGUCACCGACAGAAUAAGCACCGGCUAACUCUGUGCCAGCAGCCGCGGUAAUACAGAGGGUGCAAGCGUUAAUCGGAAUUACUGGGCGUAAAGCGCGCGUAGGUGGUUUGUUAAGUUGGAUGUGAAAUCCCCGGGCUCAACCUGGGAACUGCAUUCAAAACUGACUGACUAGAGUAUGGUAGAGGGUGGUGGAAUUUCCUGUGUAGCGGUGAAAUGCGUAGAUAUAGGAAGGAACACCAGUGGCGAAGGCGACCACCUGGACUGAUACUGACACUGAGGUGCGAAAGCGUGGGGAGCAAAC
rnacentral:rRNA from 1 species